rnacentral:rRNA from 1 species
AUAUUCCUACGGGGGGCAGCAGUGGGGAAUAUUGCGCAAUGGGGGAAACCCUGAUGCAGCGACGCCGCGUGAGUGAAGAAGUAUUUCGGUAUGUAAAGCUCUAUCAGCAGGGAAGAUAAUGACGGUACCUGACUAAGAAGCCCCGGCUAACUACGUGCCAGCAGCCGCGGUAAUACGUAGGGGGCAAGCGUUAUCCGGAUUUACUGGGUGUAAAGGGUGCGUAGGUGGCAGGACAAGUCAGAUGCGAAAGCCCGGGGCUCAACCCCGGUACUGCAUUUGAAACUGUCCAGCUGGAGUGCAGGAGG